UACAGAGGGGGCAAGCGUUAUUCGGAAUUAUUGGGUGUAAAGGGUGUGUAGGCGGGCUUUUAAGUCAGUGGUGAAAUCUCCGGGCUCAACCCGGAAACUGCCAUUGAUACUAUUAGUCUUGAAUUUUGUUGAGGUAGGCGGAAUAAGUCAUGUAGCGGUGAAAUGCAUAGAUAUGACUUAGAACACCAAUUGCGAAGGCAGCUUGCUAAACAAAUAUUGACGCUGAGGCACGAAAGCGUGGGGAUCAAACAGG
rnacentral:rRNA from 1 species